UUUAACUGAAGAGUUUGAUCAUGGCUCAGAUUGAACGCUGGCGGCAGGCUUAACACAUGCAAGUCGAGCGGGGGAAGGUAGCUUGCUACUGGACCUAGCGGCGGACGGGUGAGUAAUGCUUAGGAAUCUGCCUAUUAGUGGGGGACAACAUCUCGAAAGGGAUGCUAAUACCGCAUAC
rnacentral:rRNA from 1 species